AGUAAGCCAGACAAUCGCUGCUGAGAAAUCAGGAGAGGAAAGUCCGAGCUCCAUAGGGCAGGGUGCUGGGUAACUCCCAGUGGAGGCGACUCUAAGGAAAGUGCAACAGAGAUAUACCGCCUAAGUGACUUUUUUAGAGGAAUGUUAUAAGUUCCACUAGCCAAAUCGUAGAUAUGGAGUGUCACUGAGGUAAGGGUGGAAAGGUGAGGUAAGAGCUCACCAGCGCACUGGCGACUUUGCGGCUAUGUAAACCCCAUCUGGAGCAAGAUCGAAAGAGGGACAUUAUGGGGCUGCCCGUCCCGUCCCCGGGUGUAUCGCUUGAGCCUAUUAGUAAUAAUGGGCCUAGAUAGAUGAUUGUCUAAUACAGAACUCGGCUUAUAGGUUUGUC
rnacentral:RNase_P_RNA from 1 species